rnacentral:lncRNA from 1 species
UAUUUUUAGAGUUUAAUCGAAAUACACUGAUAGUGUAAAGAGAUUUUACACCAUCAGUUAAUCAUAGCCGUCGGAUAUUAAAAGAAGUUUGACUUUUAUUUCAAAAAUCUAUAAAAUAAUACAAAUGGAUGAUUGUUAUGAAUCGACGGUGUAAAUUUUUUUACACAUAGUAAUUAAUCUCUUAUUUUUCUCCUUACUUAUUACACUUUUUUACAUUUACAAUAAAAAUUAUAGCACUUUGGGACUAAAGGACGGGGACAACCUAAAUAUUUUAAACAACCACCAUCAUUGUAGCAUGGGAUACGACCUUUGAAGUCAAGUAAGAAUAAAAUUAAUGUUAUAAAAAUAUAAUAAAAUAUUGAAUAUAUGAUAUUAUUUGAAGUAUUAACAUGUUGCAAAAUAUACGUACUUUCGAUGGUUUUGACGAUAAAUAAAACAAGAAAAGGGAUCAAUGUAUAAACAUAAUUUUGGAUUCUAGCCAUAAUUCCCUUUUACGCGUUUAAUAAAUUGUUAUUUUCUUGAGUACUUUAAAUGAAUAAUGUUUUAAAUUCAAAUAAUUUUUUUUGUUAGCUCUUAGGAGUUUUGAGAAACCAUUUAUAAAUUUA